rnacentral:rRNA from 1 species
AACGUAGGAGGCGAGCGUUAUCCGGAUUUACUGGGCGUAAAGCGCGUGCAGGCGGAGUGAUAAGUUGGAUGUGAAAGCUCCCGGCUCAACUGGGAGAGGUCGUUCAAGACUAUCAAUCUAGAGUGCUAUAGAGGGAAGUGGAAUUCCGGGUGUAGUGGUGAAAUGCGUAGAUAUCCGGAGGAACACCAGUGGCGAAAGCGGCUCACUGGACGAUAACUGACGCUGAGGCGCGAAAGCUAGGGGAGCAAAC